rnacentral:rRNA from 1 species
UACGGGGGGGGCAAGCGUUGUUCGGAAUUACUGGGCGUAAAGGGCUCGUAGGCGGCCAACUAAGUCAGACGUGAAAUCCCUCGGCUUAACCGGGGAACUGCGUCUGAUACUGGAUGGCUUGAGUUUGGGAGAGGGAUGCGGAAUUCCAGGAGUAGCGGUGAAAUGCGUAGAUAUCUGGAGGAACACCGGUGGCGAAGGCGGCAUCCUGGACCAACACUGACGCUGAGGAGCGAAAGCCAGGGGAGCAAACGGG